GUAAACACUUCAGCAGCACAUAUGCUAAAAUGGGAAUGAAACAGAGAUUAGCAUGGUCUCUGGGCAAGGAUGACAUGCAAAUUCAUGAAGCAUUUCAUAUUUUU